rnacentral:rRNA from 1 species
CUAGGGGGCUUAUCGGCUUACCGAAAUCAGCCAAACUCCGAAUGCUGGCAAGUGUAGCGUGGCAGUGAGACGGCGGGGGAUAAGCUUCGUCGUCGAGAGGGAAACAGCCCAGAUCAUCAGCUAAGGCCCCUAAGUGGUGACUCAGUGGGAAAGGAUGUGGAGUUGCGUAGACAACCAGGAGGUUGGCUUGGAAGCAGCCAUCCUUGAAAGAGUGCGUAAUAGCUCACUGGUCAAGUGAUUCCGCGCCGAUAAUGUAGCGGGGCUUAAGUUAUCCGCCGAAGCUGUGGCAACCUGUGUGGUUGGGUAGGGGAGCGUCGUGUCAGUGGUGAAGCUGCCGGGUGACUGUGUGGUGGAGUUGAUGCGAGUGAGAAUGCAGGCAUGAGUAGCGAAAGACGGGUGAGAAUCCCGUCCACCGAUUGACUAAGGUUUCCA